rnacentral:rRNA from 1 species
AUUGAACGCUGGCGGCAUGCCUUACACAUGCAAGUCGAACGGUAGAGUAGCAAUACUUGAGAGUGGCGAACGGGUGAGUAAUAUAUCGGAACGUGCCCAGUCGUGGGGGAUAACGUAGCGAAAGCUACGCUAAUACCGCAUACGAUCUACGGAUGAAAGCGGGGGAGUCGCAAGACCUCGCGCGAUUGGAGCGGCCGAUAUCAGAUUAGGUAGUUGGUGAGGUAAAGGCUCACCAAGCCGACGAUCUGUAGCUGGUCUGAGAGGACGACCAGCCACACUGGGACUGAGACACGGCCCAGACUCCUACGGGAGGCAGCAGUGGGGGAAUUUUGGACAAUGGGC